ACAACAGAUUUUCAGGUACUUUACCUCAAGAUUUUGGUUUAAGUUCAGAUUUGGAUGAGUUUGAUGUCUCUGGCAAUAAUCUUGAAGGUUCUUUGCCGCCCAACUUAUGUUCCAGAAAGAAACUUAGGAUUUUGAACCUGUUUGACAAUAGGUUCAGUGGGUCAAUCCCUGAGUCCUAUGGGGAGUGUAAUUCACUUACAUAUGUGCGUGUCUAUAAUUAUAAACUUAGGAUUUUGAACCUGUUCGAUAAUAGGUUCAGUGGUUCAAUCCCUGAAUCCUAUGGGGAGUGUAAUUCACUAACGUACGUGCGUAUCUAUAACAACCAAUUCUCUGGUGAAUUACCAACUGGUUUCUGGAGUUUCGUUGGAUACACAUUUCU
rnacentral:lncRNA from 1 species